AGGGGCAGCUAGGGCAGCGGUUACCCCGGACCUGACACUCCUAGGCUCCCCAAAGUGAGUCCUCGACCUCCCCCCACAUGCCACUCCCCACAGCCUCUGCAGCUGCAGCUGAGUCUGCUGGUUGCCAGGCUGCCAGCCAAACCUACCUGCACUUGGAUUUUCUCCCAUUCCUCUUCUGUGAUCUCAUGGCCACAUUUUUCUUCCAACUGCUGAAGAACACUUCGAUUUAUGGCCAAGCACUGAUCGAUUUCUGCAAAGAGCUCUUCAAUGUUGGUGUUGUAUGAGCACAGGAUGCGGUGGCUGAUUUCUGUGAACUGAGGAGGACAGAGCGGGGGGUAAGCUCACACCUGAGCUCGGUGGAGGUUGCAGGGAAGCGCUCUCGAGCCUGACCAUCUAUUUUGGUAACCUUCCUCGUCUCUGUCUUCGAAUAAUACUUUUUAGGGAAAUAGAUAUAUGUCUAUUUUACUUAACUAUAAAUCCAGAUAAUCUAUCUGGACAGAUGACCACAAGAACCCCUAUCUGAUGGAGUCCAGAACACACUACCCCAAAAUACGGCACCUUGGCAUACUGAAUAUUUUAAGGAAAAAACAUUCCUUCCCAAAGGAAUUUGAGAAAUGACGGCUGCAGGAGGGACCGUCUGACCUCUCCCCACCCCCAAAGUGGGUCAUAGGACCCUCCUGUGAGAGGCACCCUCGUCUCCAAAGACGGAGGGAGCCGGGAGGAGACAGCACACAGGCCUUGCCGUGGUUCCCACCGACCACCCUCAGCUCACCCCUUGUCCUGUCACGCUUCCCCACGACCUCUGUGUCCUCAUCCAACCUAGCAUAGAAAGCGCUCAGGCGUUACUGCCUCUUCGGGUCUCUGCUGCCCCUUCGGGUCUCCGCUGCCUUAGGAAGGCUUCCAUAUCACAUGGGACUUACUAAGUAAAUCCGUGUAAUUUUCUCGUAAAGCUUAACUUACAGGGCUCCAGCUGAAGAAUUUAGGAGGGUAGGGGAAAAGGGUAUAUUGUUUCCCUCCCCUGCUGU
rnacentral:lncRNA from 1 species